AUGAAUCCUUAAGCCGUCUGAGCUCCGCCACCCUGAAUAAACAAAGCCUUGGACAGCCCUUCCUGCAGCCCCAAAUUAAACAAAUUGCAUCCCACAUCUGAGAGAUACACGCCAUCCUGAAUGAAAUAGCCAGGCAGCAUGUCCUCCAGUUCCUUGUGCCUGACUACCACCCCGCCUAACUUCAGUAUAAAACUAGCCAUCAACCCAUUAACCUUUUAUCAGUAGCACCCCGCAGC